UAGCAAUAAGGGCGGAAUAGGUAGCCGCCACCACGUUUUUACGGUAGGAGAUGAAGAUUACCACCUUCUAUUGCUU
rnacentral:ncRNA from 1 species